rnacentral:rRNA from 1 species
UACGUAGGCAGCAAGCGUUGUUCGGAAUUACUGGGCGUAAAGAGUGUGUAGGCGGUGCUCUAAGUUUGGUGUGAAAUCUCCCGGCUCAACUGGGAGGGUGCGCCGAAAACUGGAAUGCUUGAACGUGGGAGAGGAAAGCGGAAUUCCUGGUGUAGCGGUGAAAUGCGUAGAUAUCAGGAGGAACACCGGUGGUGUAGACGGCUUUCUGGACCGUAACUGACGCUGAGACACGAAAGCGUGGGUAGCAAACAGG